rnacentral:rRNA from 1 species
UGGGGAAUUUUUCGCAAUGGGCGCAAGCCUGACGAAGCAACGCCGCGUGAGUGACGAAGGUCUUCGGAUUGUAAAGCUCUUUUGGCGGGGACGAUAAUGACGGUACCCGCAGAAUAAGCCCCGGCUAACUUCGUGCCAGCAGCCGCGGUAAUACGAAGGGGGCUAGCGUUGUUCGGAAUUACUGGGCGUAAAGCGCACGUAGGCGGACUGAUAAGUCAGGGGUGAAAUCCCGGGGCUCAACCUCGGAACUGCCUUUGAUACUGUUAGUCUCGAGUCCGGAAGAGGUGAGUGGAAUUCCUAGUGUAGAGGUGAAAUUCGUAGAUAUUAGGAAGAACACCAGUGGCGAAGGCGGCUCACUGGUCCGGUACUGACGCUGAGGUGCGAAAGCGUGGGGAGCAAACAGGAUUAGAUACCCCAGUAGUCCCUGAGCGGGCUGGCAAGGCGCAU